UACGUAGGGGGCGAGCGUUGUCCGGAUUUAUUGGGCGUAAAGAGCUCGUAGGCGGUUUGGUAAGUCGGGUGUGAAAUCUCCAUGCUCAACGUGGAGGGGCCACUCGAUACUGCCAUGACUCGAGUCCGGUAGAGGAGUGUGGAAUUCCCGGUGUAGCGGUGAAAUGCGCAGAUAUCAGGAGGAACACCUAUUGCGAAGGCAGCUCGCUGAGACGUAACUGACGCUGAGACGCGAAAGCGUGGGGAGCAAACAGG
rnacentral:rRNA from 1 species